CGGGUGAUAGGGUUUGGUUGUCCUCUAAGAAUCUCCGCCUCAGGGUCCCCUCGAUGAAAUUCGCGCCCAGGUUCCUUGGCCCCUAUAAGGUAUUGCGUAAGGUCAAUCCUGUGUCCUACUCCCUGGCAUUGCCUCCUUCCAUGCGUAUACCUAACACUUUUCACACCUCCCUUUUGAAGCCCCUGCUCUGUAAUCGAUUCUCUGGUCCUCUCAGGCGUCCGGAUUCCCUCCGCGGUAUCUCCAGUGAUGUGUACGAAGUGGCUACUCUGCUUGAUUCUCGUUUUUCUCGGGGUCGGUUGCAGUAUCUGGUAGAUUGGAAGGGUUACGGCCCUGAGGAGCGAUCUUGGGUUUCUGCUUCUGACUUGAAUGCGCCCUCUUUGAUCCGCUCCUUUCAUGCACGGUUUCCUUUGAAGCCUUUGGCUUCCCGUCCGUUGGGCAGUCCUCGAGGAGGGGGUUAUGUCAUGGGUCCGUGGCCGGCUGUGAGGGGAGGCUGCACGCCACUUGCAGCACUCACCUUCAGUCCGUUGCCGCCCGCGGUCUCCCCUCCUCCUACCUGUCGGCGAGCGGCGUCUCUUUAUACUUACCUUUCCUGCCUCUCAGUGCCCUGUUGUGGUCUUGUGAUACCUGUAGUGUAGUUUUCUCGUCUUGCUCUCUGGUUACCGAUUAUUUGGCUCGUUAUUCCGAUUAUCCUGUCUUCUCCGCUCCUUUGACCUCGGCUUGUUUCUCGUUCUCCUGUUUUC